CCGAGAUUUUUUCAUGAACUUUUUGUUUUAUGAAAUCUCCCACCCUUUGUGUUACCAAAUAUUAUUACUUUGGUGAAGCGUGUUUUUUUGUAAAGUGUCGCUCUAGUUUCGACGAAAAGAUAUGCUAUACAAAAAGCCCAUCGGCUCUUUAUUGAGUGGGUGUGUUCUUCACCAAAGGAACCAUUAACUCUUUAUUAUUUUAUCAAUUGUCUGAGUUUAUAUUUUAAAUAAACA
rnacentral:misc_RNA from 1 species